AGAGCUGUAGCUCAGUAGUAGAGCAUGUGCGCUGCAAGCAGAAGGUUUCAGGUUCAAUCCCUGACAGCUCCA